rnacentral:rRNA from 1 species
AGGGAUCAUUACCGAGUUAUUCAACUCAUCAACCCUGUGAACAUACCUAAACGUUGCUUCGGCGGGAACAGACGGCCCCGUGAAACGGGCCGCCCCCGCCAGAGGACCCCUAACUCUGUUUCUAUAAUGUUUCUUCUGAGUAAAACAAGCAAAUAAAUUAAAACUUUCAACAACGGAUCUCUUGGCUCUGGCAUCGAUGAAGAACGCAGCGAAAUGCGAUAAGUAAUGUGAAUUGCAGAAUUCAGUGAAUCAUCGAAUCUUUGAACGCACAUUGCGCCCGCCAGUAUUCUGGCGGGCAUGCCUGUUCGAGCGUCAUUACAACCCUCAGGCCCCCGGGCCUGGCGUUGGGGAUCGGCGGAGCCCCCCGUGGGCACACGCCGUCCCCCAAAUACAGUGGCGGUCCCGCCGCAGCUUCCAUCGCGUAGUAGCUAACACCUCGCGACUGGAGAGCGGCGCGGCCACGCCGUAAAACACCCAACUCUUCUGAAGUUGACCUCGAAUCAGGUAGGAAUACCCGCUGAACUUAA